UACGUAGGGUGCGAGCGUUGUCCGGAAUUAUUGGGCGUAAAGAGCUUGUAGGCGGUUUGUCGCGUCUGCCGUGAAAUUUCGAGGCUCAACCUCGAACUUGCGGUGGGUACGGGCAGACUAGAGUGUGGUAGGGGAGACUGGAAUUCCUGGUGUAGCGGUGAAAUGCGCAGAUAUCAGGAGGAACACCGAUGGCGAAGGCAGGUCUCUGGGCCACUACUGACGUUGAGAAGCGAAAGCAUGGGGAGCGAACAGG
rnacentral:rRNA from 1 species